GAAAUUCAUCUGUUCCCACAUAGGUGGUGAAGUUCCAUGGAUUUCUGGCUUCCUCUCCACAAAUCAACCCUGGAGUAACUGAAGUUUGAGCAUUGGAUUGUGGGAACCAAGUGAAAAGCCAUAACAAAAUUCUUGGGAAAUGAAAAGCUGUAUAUGUGUGUGUGUGUGUGUGUGUGUGUGUGUGUUUACAGCCUGGGGUAGAGGGCUAGCAGUGGCAGUUGAAGCACCAAUUAGGGAAACUUUUCUUUUUAAAAGAUUUUUGCCUUUGCCUUUAUGUACCAUGAAUCUAAGAUUAUCAUUGCCUACUCCUUCACUAUAGAAAGCAGCAACAAAAGGCUAGACCAAUAGUCAGGUGUCUGGAAGGUAACAU
rnacentral:lncRNA from 1 species